ACGCCAGCGUUUCGCCUCUUUUUUUUUUUUUUUUUUUUUUUUUUUUAGGGGUCCUGCCUCAUGUGCAGGUUGCCCUUGAAAUUGCCCUUCUCAGCAGCGUUCCCCCGCCCCUGUGUGACCUCCGAGGUCUCCCCGGCCCCUGUUCCCCUCAGGCCGCCUGACUCUGCUCCCGGCAGUUUUUCCACUCAGAGGUCCACAGCCUGGCCCCUGCUUGAAGAUUCCCGCUUCUGCCUGUCUCAUUCCUCUUUGCUCGUCAAACCAAAGCCAAUCCCCACAGAAAACCCUGAAAAGCUGCUCUCUGCCCUGAAUCUGCUGCGCUUCAUCCCAAAUGCUGAGGCCGAGACAGCUCUUGUCACCUUUCACCCCUGAUGUGGCGCGUCCCUGAGUCUGGCCUCUGGUGUCCUUUCUGAUGCACCAGAAUUGUUCCCUUUUGGACUGGCCACCAUCAUCCAUUGUUCUCCAUGAAACAGAAACUGCCGUUGCCCUCGGGGGAGAUGGUGGCUGCCUAUACUGUGAGGCAUCAUAAAACACAGACCCCGUUGGGAACAAUGGGGAAAAGCCUUCUCAACGUGGCCACCAGCUGAGGCCUGCCACCGCUCUCAGCCCGUCCGGAGCACGGGGGAGCGGCAGCCGCGUUGAGGGGAGGCGGUGGUCCACCGAGCAGCCUCUGGGCCCUGCCUGAGGGGAAAACAAGAUUACAUGCAAGAGGAAAACUACCCAAACAAAACCAGCUUAAUUACAAGAAGGAAGUGAAAUAAAGUCUUCGUGCAAGGUUA